UUGAAGAGUAGCUUGGAGGCUUGCCUAUAUAAGGGGGCUUAAGUUAUGUUUUCAAAUGUACCAAACCAAAUGUAUUUCUAACACUUUUGUUAGGAGAAUGUACUAAGGUUUAUGUGAUUGUAAAAAAUUUUCACAUAGUGGUCGGUUGUUGUCUUUUGACAACAGUUGUGGUUUUUUCCCGAUUUUGGGUUUCCACGUUAAAUUCUUGUGUUAUUUUAUUUCUCAAUUUUUCUCUUUACAAAAGGGGCGAAGAUCUCGGGGUUUACGGGAAAUGGUCAAUUUCUUUUUUUUCCCAACAGCUGUGUUCCCUCCAGUAGUGUCGUCGCAUUCUGUUGCAUGGAUAGAAUGAGCACUAGGGCAUAUUUCCAUGCUUCCUGAUUCAUCGUGUGGCAGAUGUUGAGUGAGCAACUUGUCAUUUCUGUUGGGUAGGUGAUUACGACCUUUCUUGCAUACUGUUCUUUGAGGGUGUAUGUUUUGUUCUCAUUGAGCCAACAUAGUAUGGGUUGUGUUCCCUCAUUUAUGCCAUCGUUGCUGCUACUCUGAGUCUUGCUAUUUCCUCGAGUCCUUCUUGAUUGGGAGAGAAGGGAUCUGAUGAGGGGCUAUUGGGUGGAGUUGGUGGCAUCAUGGGAUGGAGCUAGCCAUGCAGUGGCGUUAGAGGCAUAAUUGUUUAUCGUGGUUGAAUCCAUGGUUGUUACGGUGGGUAGAAGGGGAGAUCCAUGGAGUUUAGUGAGGUGGAGAACGGGUGGUAUGGAGGAAUCUGGGGUGGAAUUGGAGCUGAGGAUGUUUGAUACUGGUACAUGAGUGAAGGUGGAUGCAUGACCCAUAGAUAUUGAUUGUAGAGGUUCAUGCCUAGUUGCAUGCCCUCCAUUACAAUUUAGGCUAUAUCCAUAGGGUUCUGAAUCAUGACAAUCACAUCCUGAUGGUCGAGUGACAUCAUGAAGGUGAGCGCGUAUUCCUGGAGGCCCAUCUCGAGCCAGGAAUGGGAUACAUUUGCACUAAAGAAAACUAGGAGAUAUAGAUUAGUGGUGGAAUGUGUGUUGUAUUGUUGUAGUUCUGCAUGGGUAUCAUGUGUAGUGUGAUCUGUUGUAGUAGUAGGUGGGAGUUGGA
rnacentral:lncRNA from 1 species